rnacentral:snoRNA from 1 species
GUUGAGGCCUAUCCCGAUGGGACCUCUUCUGUAGGUUCAGGUCGUUGGAAAUGCCUCAUAGAGCAAACUUUGUAGUUUCGCUUUACCCAUUCAACUAUUUGUUAGUUCUAUGGGAUAAAACUGCAAGACAGUC